CCUACGGGGGGCAGCAGUGGGGAAUAUUGCACAAUGGGGGAAACCCUGAUGCAGCGACGCCGCGUGAGUGAAGAAGUAUUUCGGUAUGUAAAGCUCUAUCAGCAGGGAAGAAAAUGACGGUACCUGAUUAAGAAGCCCCGGCUAACUACGUGCCAGCAGCCGCGGUAAUACGUAGGGGGCAGGCGUUAUCCGGAUUUACUGGUGUAAAGGGAGCGUAGACGGCAGCACAAGUCUGGAGUGAAAUGCCGGGGCUCAACCCCGGAACUGCUUUGGAAACUGUGCAGCUAGAGUGCAGGAGAGGUAAGUGGAAUUCCUAGUGUAGCGGUGAAAUGCGUAGAUAUUAGGAGGAACACCAGUGGCGAAGGCGGCUUACUGGACUGUAACUGACGUUGAGGCUCGAAAGCGUGGGGAGCAAACAGGAUUAGAUACCCGAGUAGUC
rnacentral:rRNA from 1 species